GUGCUCGCUUUUGCAGCACAUAUAUUAAAAUUGGAACGAUACAGAGAAGAUUAGCAUCCAAGGAGCUAAGAGAACCUCACUAUAAAACUAUCUCUUUUU
rnacentral:snRNA from 1 species